GGAGACGUCGCAUAGCCCGGUCGAGUGCGCCUCACUGCUAAUGAGGUAAGGGUGUUAAAGCCCUUCGGAGGUUCAAAUCCUCUCGUCUCCG
rnacentral:tRNA from 1 species